AAUUUGGUGCUACUCAGCACCAUCGAUAUCACUAAAAAAAUACAU
rfam:Zea mays cultivar B73 chromosome 5, whole genome shotgun sequence.